AAGGAUUUAAGUUAAAUAAACUAUUAACCUUCAAAGUUGAAAAUAGAAUGUUCUAAGCCUUA
rnacentral:tRNA from 1 species